rnacentral:rRNA from 1 species
UACGAAGGGGGCUAGCGUUGCUCGGAAUCACUGGGCGUAAAGCGCACGUAGGCGGAUUGCUAAGUCAGGGGUGAAAUCCUGGAGCUCAACUCCAGAACUGCCUUUGAUACUGGCGACCUUUGAGUCCGGGAGAGGUGAGUGGAACUGCGAGUGUAGAGGUGAAAUUCGUAGAUAUUCGCAAGAACACCAGUGGCGAAGGCGGCUCACUGGCCCGGUACUGACGCUGAGGUGCGAAAGCGUGGGGAGCAAACAGG